GAAAGAAGACGUCCACGCUGCUGAGUGAGACCUUCCUCCGUGCUGCUGAGUGAGACCUUCCAUCUGACCAGGGGGUCAUGCUCUCACUGCUCCUGCUUGGAGUUCUGGUGCUGUAGCGGGUCUCGGCCGCCCCUUCUGAGCUGGGUGGAGGAAGAAGUGCCUGUUGAAAUACAGAUGAGUAGGGAUGAUCGCCUCUUUUGAAAACAGGAGCCGUGAAGUGAUUCCCAGAGAAGAUUGUCAUCUAACGGAGUCAUUCGUCCGCCCAGGACUUCUCUGUCACAGGGUCACGUUUGGGAGAAUUUUCACAGGCCACUGGGGAUGGCUGUGGCUAGCCUGGCUUUCCGCUGAUGCCCUCUAUCCCUAACCUCAGCUCCUGACAUGGCUGUCAUUCCAGAGAGUGCUUGGAAGCCUCCUGACUUUGUUGACGAUGGCCUGAGCGGAGUUUGCAAUGGUCUGGAGCAGCCAAGGAAGCAGCAGCGCUCUGAUCUCAAUGGACCUGUUGACAAUAACAACAUUCCAGAGACAAAGAAGGUGGCAUCAUUUCCAAGUUUUGUGGCUGUUCCAGGGCCCUGCGAACCAGAAGACCUCAUCGACGGGAUCAUCUUUGCUGCCAAUUACCUGGGGUCCACCCAGCUGCUAUCAGAACGGAACCCUUCCAAAAACAUCAGAAUGAUGCAAGCGCAGGAGGCCGUCAGCCGGGUCAAGAAUUCUGAGGGGGAUGCCCAGACGCUGACGGAAGUGGACCUCUUCAUUUCCACCCAGAGGAUCAAGGUUUUAAAUGCAGACACGCAGGAAACCAUGAUGGACCACGCCUUGCGUACCAUCUCCUACAUCGCCGACAUUGGGAACAUUGUGGUGCUGAUGGCCAGACGCCGCAUGCCCCGGUCAGCCUCUCAGGACUGCAUCGAGACCACGCCCGGGGCCCAGGAAGGCAAGAAGCAGUAUAAGAUGAUCUGCCAUGUGUUCGAGUCGGAGGAUGUAAGUAAGCCCUUGCCAGGGCACUCCCCUCCCAAAGUUCACAGCCCAGGGCGGCUCCAGGAUCCAGGCGCUAUGGAAACCACCCUCAGGGGGAAAGCCUCCGUGCUGUUACUGAUGUUUCCAGUGGAUCAGUGAUCUUUUGCAUACUCUUUGGGUUUGCAAAGAUGGUGAAUACAGUUUCAUUCUACUUGAAAUAGGUUCUUCAGGAGCUGUUUAUAAAUUGAGUCGUGGUUAAAUAUAUGAGGGAGCUAUUUGAAGAAAUCCCUUUACAAAACAUUUUCUCUACUAAAAAUGAAGUUAAUCUUUGCGUAACUUUUGUUAUUAAAAUGCAAAUUUUCGCAUGGCCCUGGCAUGCUGUAUAAAGAAAGCACAUCUGCACAUGAGGCUUAGUUCUGCCUUUGCGUGUGGUCUUCAGAGGAAGUCAAAAGCGAUUCUGAAGUAUAAGAUACCAAAGACUCAGGAAAAGAUCACAAGCCCUUUUUGGCUCCCUCCUUGGCUGGAGAAGAGUGUUGUUUUUAGCCUGGAGGGGGACAGAGGGGCUGAGGAAGGAGCAGCAGGGCCAAGAGGGGAGCUCAGAGAGGAACUGUCCUUCCUGGAGGCUGAUCUUACUCACAGACCAGCAGGAGGCGCUGCUGGUGAGCCAGUUUUGUGGCUGUUGCCAGAGUGAAAUUUUAAAAAAUGAUCUAUGGCUGGGCACGGUAGCUCAUGCCUGUAAUCCCAACACUUUUGGGAGGCUGAGGUGCGUGGAUCACCUGAGGUCAGGAGUUCAAAACCAGCCUGGCCAACAUUGUGAAACCCCAGUCUCUACUAAAGAUACAAAAAAAUUAGCCAAGCUUGGUGGUGCGUGCCUGUAAUCCCAGCUACUUGGGAGGCUGAGGCAGGAGAACUGCUUGAACCUGGGAGGCGGAGAUUGCAGUGAGCUGAGAUCGUGCCGUUGCACUCCAGCCUGGGUGACAAGAGUGAAACUCCGUCUC
rnacentral:sRNA from 1 species